UCCAAGUAAAGUUCUGUGAUACACUCCGACUCUGAAUGUUUGCAGUCAGUGCAUUACAGAACUUUGUUUUGGG
rfam:Danio rerio chromosome 9, GRCz11 reference primary assembly.